AUGUGUAGACAAAGCAAAUCUAUUUGCUGGAUCUGGUAAACUGCAACAAAUAAUAAAUGAAGUGAAACUGGUACCUGAGGGCAUAGCUUGAUAGAAAACUAAAUGUAGGAUUUAAGCUCUGUGAUAAAAAGCUUUACUGUUUUCCAACUUCAGGCAUUAUCAGAAUUUUAUGGCACAGGUCAGAAACACUAGAGGGCAAGUGAAACAAGACAAAUGGGUGAGAGGAGAUCAAGUGAUUAGCAGAGGACUGUAAUAGGAUGUUAAAUCCAGCCCAUUUAGAAACGAAACUGAGCUGCUUCUGAGCCUGGAAGAGUCCAAUGUAAACAUCAGGCCCUUCUUGGCAACUAUCCAGCAUGUUCUAUCAACCACCCCUAAAAUCUGUUAUUGGAUUAAACUGGUGUGCCUGGCUCCACUCUGAGCUCUUCAGUAGCUUCCCAAAGACAUCUGUCAUGAGUGUACCUGGCUGUACUUGCCUGUAUACCCACCUCCAGCUGCACCUUCACCUCUUUAUCCCCACCAAGCAUUUAACCUUCUACCAUUAUUUAGUGACUUAUGGGACUCAGUGCUUACCCUGGAAUCACAUUGUGUCAGGUAUUCCUUACACUUGUGAUAACCUACUCUCUGCAAAAUAGGAGAAAUUAUAAUUUUUUUUGUUGGACACUGAUAGAGUGAUCCCUGGUUCCAUUUGGAAUGUUAUUACCACAUUGUAAAAGAUUCAUAGCAAGGACAAAAAAAAACAUAGGUAAAA